ACGAACGCUGGCGGUGUGCUUAACACAUGCAAGUCGAGCGGUAAGGCCCUUUCGGGGGUACACGAGCGGCGAACGGGUGAGUAACACGUGGGUGACCUGCCCUCAGCUCUGGGAUAAGCCCGGGAAACUGGGUCUAAUACCGGAUAUGACUCCAUGACGCAUGUUGUGGGGUGGAAAGCCUUGUGCGGCUGAGGAUGGGCCCGCGGCCUAUCAGCUUGUUGGUGGGGUGAUGGCCUACCAAGGCGACGACGGGUAGCCGGCCUGAGAGGGCGACCGGCCACACUGGGACUGAGAUACGGCCCAGACUCCUACGGGAGGCAGCAGUGGGGAAUCUUGCGCAAUGGGCGAAAGCCUGACGCAGCGACGCCGCGUGAGGGAUGACGGCCU
rnacentral:rRNA from 1 species